rnacentral:rRNA from 1 species
GAGUUUGAUUAUGGCUCAGAACGAACGCUGGCGGCGUGUUUAAGACAUGCAAGUCGCACGGGACAAGACAUGUAGUAAUACCUGUCUUGUUUAGUGGCGCACGGGUGAGUAACAUGUGAAUUACAUGCCCUAUAGUGGGGAAUAGCCCAGGGAAACUUGGAUUAAUACCCCAUGGUCUCGCAAGAGUAAAGGUGGCCGCAAGGCUGUCGCUAUAGGAUUGGUUCGCACCCUAUCAGCUUGUUGGUGAGGUAACGGCUCACCAAGGCUACGACGGGUACCUGGUCUGAGAGGACGAUCAGGCACACUGGAACUGAGACACGGUCCAGACACCUACGGGUGGCAGCAGUCGAGAAUAAUUCACAAUGGGGGCAACCCUGAUGGUGCAACGCCGCGUGGAGGAUGAAGGUCUUCGGAUUGUAAACUCCUGUCAUCCGGGAGCAAGACCUGACGGUUAACAGCCGGCAGGGUUGAUAGUACCGGAAGAGGAAGGGACGGCUAACUUCGUGCCAGCAGCCGCGGUAAUACGAAGGUCCCGAGCGUUGUUCGGAAUCACUGGGCGUAAAGGGAGCGUAGGCGGCG